rfam:Mus musculus chromosome 10, GRC primary reference assembly.
UUCUCUGGCAACAGGCAAAGAGACACCUUGUUGGUAUUCUUCUUACAUUAGUCGUGGGAAGAACUGAUGGCAGUCCUUUGUUCAUCCUAGCUUGACAUCUGGCUUGGUGGACAAAGCUGUCUUAUGCCUAGGACACAUAA